rnacentral:rRNA from 1 species
GGAUGAACGCUAGCGGGAGGCCUAACACAUGCAAGCCGAGCGGUAGAGUCUCUUCGGAGACUUGAGAGCGGCGCACGGGUGCGGAACACGUGUGCAACCUGCCUUUAUCUGGGGGAUAGCCUUUCGAAAGGAAGAUUAAUACCCCAUAAUAUAAGAAACGGCAUCGUUUUUUAUUGAAAACUCCGGUGGAUAGAGAUGGGCACGCGCAAGAUUAGAUAGUUGGUGAGGUAACGGCUCACCAAGUCGACGAUCUUUAGGGGGCCUGAGAGGGUGAUCCCCCACACUGGUACUGAGACACGGACCAGACUCCUACGGGAGGCAGCAGUGAGGAAUAUUGGACAAUGGGUGAGAGCCUGAUCCAGCCAUCCCGCGUGAAGGACGACGGCCCUAUGGGUUGUAAACUUCUUUUGUAUAGGGAUAAACCUACUCUCGUGAGGGUAGCUGAAGGUACUAUACGAAUAAGCACCGGCUAACUCCGUGCCAGCAGCCGCGGUAAUACGGAGGGUGCAAGCGUUAUCCGGAUUUAUUGGGUUUAAAGGGUCCGUAGGCGGAUCUGUAAGUCAGUGGUGAAAUCUCACAGCUUAACUGUGAAACUGCCAUUGAUACUGCAGGUCUUGAGUGUUGUUGAAGUAGCUGGAAUAAGUAGUGUAGCGGUGAAAUGCAUAGAUAUUACUUAGAACACCAAUUGCGAAGGCAGGUUACUAAGCAACAACUGACGCUGAUGGACGAAAGCGUGGGGAGCGAACAGGAUUAGAUACCCUGGUAGUCCACGCCGUAAACGAUGCUAACUCGUUUUUGGGAUUUAGGUUUCAGAGACUAAGCGAAAGUGAUAAGUUAGCCACCUGGGGAGUACGAACGCAAGUUUGAAACUCAAAGGAAUUGACGGGGGCCCGCACAAGCGGUGGAUUAUGUGGUUUAAUUCGAUGAUACGCGAGGAACCUUACCAAGGCUUAAAUGGGAAAUGACAUGCUUAGAAAUAGGCUUUUCUUCGGACAUUUUUCAAGGUGCUGCAUGGUUGUCGUCAGCUCGUGCCGUGAGGUGUUAGGUUAAGUCCUGCAACGAGCGCAACCCCUGUCACUAGUUGCCAUCAUUAACUUGGGGACUCUAGUGAGACUGCCUACGCAAGUACAGAGGACCGUGGUCAUGACGACGAAU